UUGAUCCCUAUUAUACCAUUUAUCUAAUAUUUUACUUGAGUAGUAAUCAGUUAUGUUCUUGAAAUUUAAAGGAUUUGGCGGUAUUUAAGUCCAGUUAGAGGAACCUGUUCUAUAAACGUUAUUCCCCGAAUUAUCUUACUUUUAUUUGAAUUCAGUUUGUAUACCGCCGUCAGAUUAAAUAAUGUCAAUAGAAAUUUAUUAAGAUAAAUUUAUUUUAAUAUCUCAGGUCAAGGUGCAGCUUAUAUGAAAGUUGAAAUGGGUUACAAUAUAUUAUAUAUUUGGAUCUAAAUUUUAUAAUUUUUUUAAAAUUGAAUUUAAUUGUAUUUCUGUUUUAAUAUGACAAAAUGAUAUUGGCUCUAAAAUACGUAACACGCCCCCCCUCCUUAA
rnacentral:rRNA from 1 species